rnacentral:rRNA from 1 species
UACGUAGGGUGCAAGCGUUAAUCGGAAUUACUGGGCGUAAAGCGUGCGCAGGCGGUUUUGUAAGUGUGAAGGGAAAGCCCCGGGCUUAACCUGGGAAUUGCGUUGGAGACUGCAAGGCUUGAAUCUGGCAGAGGGGGGUAGAAUUCCACGUGUAGCAGUGAAAUGCGUAGAGAUGUGGAGGAACACCGAUGGCGAAGGCAGCCCCCUGGGUCAAGAUUGACGCUCAUGCACGAAAGCGUGGGGAGCAAACAGG